rnacentral:lncRNA from 1 species
CUCCACUUAAGAGAAGAAAGCCCAUCCGAUCAUCAUCCUUGGAAACAGACAGGACCUUGUUGCAGACUCUUCCAAUGUGCCUAGAAUUUCAGGAAGAGAUUAUCCGCUAGAGCUAAAUCAGAUCUUUAAGUGGCAUCAUGGAAGCUCACCUUUCACCACGUAUCAAGCUGGACUCUGUGCAAACACCAGAAGAAGUCCAGAGAUCCACAGUCAAAAGAACCAGAAGAAAGCAGAUUAGGAUUGGAGCUGAAAUCAUCAUUGUUUGAAUCCAAUCUCCAGUAUUUACUUAUCUCUGUGAUAAAAACAAACCAUGCAACUGCUCGAUUGUACAUUUUUUCAUCAUCUACAUAAUGAGGACAAUUAAUAUCUCCUGAGGUUGUCAGGGAGCUUAAAUGAUGGAUAUCCAAGUACUGCCUGUAAAGUCUUGCCCAACUUGAGGCAUUCCUGAACUGUACUUAGGGCCAGUAACCACAUGGAGGGGGGUGGG